CCUUGUCUAAAUCUCACGCAGAGGAAGAGCAACGAACCAUGGCAGCUAUGGUAGCCCUCUGCAGUGGGCUAGGAAGGAGAAUGUUAACGCACUUCGUAACGGCUGCUGUCUGCCUCACAGAUUCUGGGGCUCAUGCAGUGCUGUGGAGAAGUUGUUCACAAUAUAAACAGGUAACCAGCAAUGAGGACCUGCCUGUUCCAAUGGAAAAUCCUUAUAAGGAGCCUCUGAAAAAAUCUAUCUUGUGUGGAAAACGUGUAGAUUAUAAGAAUGUACAGCUUUUAUCCCAGUUUAUUUCUCCAUUUACUGGAUGCAUUUAUGGAAGGCACAUAGCAGGUCUUUGUGGGAAGAAACAAAAAGAAAUCACAAAAGCAAUUAAGAGAGCUCAAAUAAUGGGGUUUAUGCCAGUUACAUACAAGGAUCCUGCAUAUCUCAAAGACCCUUAAGUUUGUAACAUCAAAUACAGGGAGUAAAUUCUAUAAAGUUAUCAUCAAUAAAUUUAUUUUACAGUUGUGUGGU